UAGGGAAUCUUCGGCAAUGGGGGCAACCCUGACCGAGCAACGCCGCGUGAGUGAAGAAGCUUUUCGGAUCGUAAAGCUCUGUUGUAAGUCAAGAACGGGUGUGAGAGUGGAAAGUUCACACUGUGACGGUAGCCUACCAGAAAGGGACGGCUAACUACGUGCCAGCAGCCGCGGUAAUACGUAGGUCCCGAGCGUUGUCCGGAUUUAUUGGGCGUAAAGCGAGCGCAGGCGGUUUGAUAAGUCUGAAGUUAAAGGCUGUGGCUCAACCAUCGUUCGCUUUGGAAACUGUCAAACUUGAGUGCAGAAGGGGAGAGUGGGAUUCCCUGUGUAGCGGUGCAAUUCGUAGAUAUAUGGAGGGACACCGGGGGCGGAAGCGGCUCUCUGGUCUGUAACUGACGCUGAGGCUCGAAAGCGUGGGGGGCGAACAGG
rnacentral:rRNA from 1 species